GACGAACGCUGGCGGCGUGCUUAACACAUGCCAGUCGAACGGAAAGGCCCCUUUGGGGGUACUCGAGUGGCGAACGGGUGAGUAACACGUGAGUAACCUGCCCUUGACUUCGGGAUAACUUCAGGAAACUGGGGCUAAUACCGGAUAGGAAUCCUUGCUGCAUGGUGGGGGUUGGAAAGCUUCGGCGGUUUUGGAUGGACUCGCGGCUUAUCAGCUUGUUGGUGGGGUAGUGGCCUACCAAGGCUUUGACGGGUAGCCGGCCUGAGAGGGCGACCGGCCACAUUGGGACUGAGAUACGGCCCAGACUCCUACGGGAGGCAGCAGUGGGGAAUAUUGCACAAUGGGCGGAAGCCUGAUGCAGCAACGCCGCGUGCGGGAUGACGGCCUUCGGGUUGUAAACCGCUUUCAGCAGGGGCGAAGCUUGUGGUGACGGUACCUGCAGAAGAAGCACCGGCUAACUACGUG
rnacentral:rRNA from 1 species